rnacentral:misc_RNA from 1 species
CGGGCGCUGGGACAGAACAAG